rnacentral:rRNA from 1 species
AUGACUCGGCUCUAGACGACGACGAAGGAUGUGGCUAACUGCAUUAAGCCGCGGCGAACCGUACGCAGGUUUUGAACCGCGGAUCUCCGAAUAGGACUUCCUUUUAAACCCGAAAGGGUGGAAAACGCGGGGAACUGAAACAUCUUAGUACCCGCAGGAAAAGAAACCAAUUGGGAUGCGGUAAGUAAGGGCGACCGAAAACCGCUAAGGGCAAACCGAAUGAGGAUUAGUAAUAAUUCUCGUGUGUGGUGUUAUGGACCGCGCCGUUUUAACGUCCGGCUCUGGAAAUCUGAACUCGCCUGGAAAGGCGGGCUAGAAAGGGUGACAGCCCCGUAGGAGUAACUGGAGUGGACUAGGUGCGUAGUCCAGAGUACUGUUCCUCGGAUAUGGAGCAGGAAGUUGGGGGGCAUCAACCUCCAACCCUAAACACGUUUAGAGUCCGAUAGAAAACAAGUACCGUGAGGGAAAGUUGAAAAGAACCCGUGACAGGGAGUCAAAAGAGCCUGAAACC